AGCGAACGCUGGCGGCAGGCCUAACACAUGCAAGUCGAACGAACUCUUCGGAGUUAGUGGCGGACGGGUGAGUAACACGUGGGAACGUGCCUUUAGGCUCGGAAUAACUCAGGGAAACUUGUGCUAAUACCGAAUGUGCCCUUCGGGGGAAAGAUUUAUCGCCUUUAGAGCGGCCCGCGUCGGCUUAGCUAGUGGGUGUGGUAAAGGCCCACCAAGGCGACGAUCAGUAGCUGGUCUGAGAGGAUGAUCAGCCACAUUGGGGCUGAGACACGGCCCAAACUCCUACGGGAGGCGGCAGUGGGUGAUCUUGCGCAAUGGGCGGAAUCCUGACGGAGCCAUGCCGCGUGAAUGAUGUAGGUCUUAGGAUUGUAAAAUUCUUUCACCGGGGACGAUAAUGACGGUACCCGGAGAAGAAGCCCCGGCUAACUUCGUG
rnacentral:rRNA from 1 species